CGGCGAGUGAAGCGGCAAGAGCUCAAAUUUGAAAGCUGGCCCCCUCGGGGUCCGCAUUGUAAUUUGCAGAGGAUGCUUCGGGAACGGCCCCCAUCUAAGUGCCCUGGAACGGGCCGUCAUAGAGGGUGAGAAUCCCGUCUGGGAUGGGGUGGCCGCGCCCGUGUGAAGCUCCUUCGACGAGUCGAGUUGUUUGGGAAUGCAGCUCUAAUUGGGUGGUAAAUUUCAUCUAAAGCUAAAUAUUGGCCGGAGACCGAUAGCGCACAAGUAGAGUGAUCGAAAGAUGAAAAGCACUUUGAAAAGAGAGUUAAACAGCACGUGAAAUUGUUGAAAGGGAAGCGCUUGCGACCAGACUCGCCCGCGGGGUUCAGCCGGCACUCGUGCCGGUGUACUUCCCCGCGGGCGGGCCAGCGUCGGUUUGGGCGGCCGGUCAAAGGCCUCUGGAAGGUAACGCCUCUCGGGGCGUCUUAUAGCCAGGGGUGCCAUGCGGCCUGCCCGGACCGAGGAACGCGCUUCGGCUCGGACGCUGGCAUAAUGGUCGUAAGCGACCCGUCUUGAAACACGGACCAAGGAGUCUAACAUCUACGCGAGUGUUCGGGUGUCAAACCCGUGCGCGCAGUGAAAGCGAACGGAGGUGGGAACCCCCCGGGGUGCACCAUCGACCGAUCCUGAUGUCUUCGGAUGGAUUUGAGUAAGAGCGUAGCUGUUGGGACCCGAAAGAUGGUGAACUAUGCCUGAAUAGGGCGAAGCCAGAGGAAACUCUGGUGGAGGCUCGCAGCGGUUCUGACGUGCAAAUCGAUCGUCAAAUUUGGGUAUAGGGGCGAAAGACUAAUCGAACCA
rnacentral:rRNA from 1 species